AUUGCGGACGGACAGCGCCCCCUGCCGGAGCGACUGCGGCGCCGCGCGGCUGCCCAGCCCAGGGCCCCGGCGGCCCGAGUUCUCGUCGCCGGCUGUCGAGCAACAGCGGGCUGUGGCUCUCUGGCUGUGCCGGCCUCGGAGAAGGGGUGCCGGGGAAGGCUACCCCGUGGCUGCUGCGUCACGCACCUAAGGCACCCAAGUGUCCUGGAGUUCGUGGACGGACAGAGAAGUCACCAGCACGCGAGGCUCUGAGGUGGAUUCAUAGCAACAGCCUGGGAGAAGCUUACCACUGAGUCCAUCCAGCAGGCACAAGGGGUCCGAUUCCGUCUCCCUCAGGGAUUUCGGACACGCGAAAAGGGCUGCUCGCCACACCUUUGCACUUGCUUCACCAAGCCCCAUGAGAGACCGCUGCUGCUUGGAGAGUCACAUAAGUGAAAGGUUUGUCUGUGUCCUGUGGUUUCAAUGCUUUGAUGUUUCCCCUUGAAGUUUUCUCAGAAGUUGGAUUGUCCCAGGCGAUGUCACCCUUCUCCUGGUCCCAGGAGAUGUUCGGAGGAACCCUUUCAGAUACUCCGGAACAAAAUUCCAA